rnacentral:rRNA from 1 species
UACGUAGGGUGCAAGCGUUGUCCGGAAUUAUUGGGCGUAAAGAGCUCGUAGGCGGUCUGUCGCGUCGGCUGUGAAAACCCGGAGCUCAACUCCGGGCCUGCAGUCGAUACGGGCAGACUGGAGUUCGGCAGGGGAGACUGGAAUUCCUGGUGUAGCGGUGAAAUGCGCAGAUAUCAGGAGGAACACCUGAGGUGAAGACGGGUUGCUGGGCCGACACUGACGCUGACAGCGCGAAAGCCAGGGGAGCAAACGGG